CAAAUGUAGCCUACAUGUAUGCGGGUAAGUUUAAUGAAACUCUCUGGUGUACAUGAUGCGGAGAUUGGGAGAGAAACAGAAAAAAAGCCAAGUGAGCAAUCUAAAUGGUGAGAAGCAAAAUGGUGUGAGAAUACUGUGAACGGGAGCGGUAGAAUCGUAGAUGGGGGACGGAGACGGCCGCCGUGAGAGUGGACGGCCACCAGCUUCAUGGGUAGAAUGCCCUCUGUACUCUGCUCGUUUCUUCUUCAACGACAUCGCCGCCUUGGGCAGGACGGCGGAUCCAGACUCUCGGCAGCUAGUCGGAGAUCUAGCGUUGGGGAGCCGAGGCCGGCCUUCAUCAGUGUGGGCUCCUUGCCGAGCUGGGGCAGUGGCCGGUGCUGGAGCUGCUGUGCGCGCCCUUGUCCGAUGCAGAGCAGCCAGCAAGCUAACGGGAGCAUGAUGGAUCGUGGAUUGAGCCAUCAGUGAUAGGUUGAGAAACUGAUCAAGGAAUUACCAACAACAAGCCUAGCUGGGUGACGGGCAGCACGGCGGUGCGGGUUAGCGAGAAAGUUGAUUGUUCUAGUGAUAGUGUUCUUGCAGAUUUCAAUUUUGUGUCACAACCAGUAAUUAUUGGUGAAAAAGGUGAAGAAAAUGCAAACGAAAAUGAAGAUUAUGAUGAUGAUGAUGAUGAAAGUGAAAAAAUGCAGAAGCUAGAGCUUAGUUAUAGGGAUAGAAAAGGAGCCUGAUAAUAUGUUGGCCCAUAAUAUGUAGCUGUUUGUGUGUAAGGGGAUCUCAUUGAAAGAUGUAUGUGUGAAACUUGAAAUGAAA